rnacentral:rRNA from 1 species
UACGUAGGUGGCGAGCGUUGUCCGGAUUUACUGGGCGUAAAGGGCGUGCAGGCGGUUUGUUAAGUGCAGGGUGAAAGCUCCCGGCUCAACUGGGAGAGGUCCUUGCAUACUGGCGAACUCGAGGGAGGCAGAGGAAAGUGGAAUUCCCGGUGGAGCGGUGAAGUGCGUAGAGAUCGGGAGGAAUACCAGUGGCGAAGGCGGCCUGCUGGGCCACGACCGACACUGAGGUGCGAAAGCGUGGGGAGCGAACCGG